UACGUAGGGUGCAAGCGUUAAUCGGAAUUACUGGGCGUAAAGCGUGCGCAGGCGGUUAUGUAAGACAGGUGUGAAAUCCCCCGGGCUUAACCUGGGAACUGCGCUUGUAACUGGCAAGCUGGAGUGUGGCAGAGGGGGGGUGGAAUUCCGACGUGUAGCAGUGAAAUGCGUAGAGAUGCGGAGGAACACCGAUGGCGAAAGGCAGCCCCC
rnacentral:rRNA from 1 species